rnacentral:rRNA from 1 species
AGGAUUAAGCCAUGCAUGUCUAAGUAUAAGCAAUUAUACAGCGAAACUGCGAAUGGCUCAUUAAAUCAGUUAUCGUUUAUUUGAUAGUACCUUACUACAUGGAUAACCGUGGUAAUUCUAGAGCUAAUACAUGCUGAAAACCCCGACUUCGGAAGGGGUGUAUUUAUUAGAUUAAAAACCAAUGCCCUCCGGGGCUUACUGGUGAUUCAUGAUAACUUCUCGAAUCGCACGGCCUUGCGCCGGCGAUGGUUCAUUCAAAUUUCUGCCCUAUCAACUUUCGACGGCUGGGUCUUGGCCAGCCGUGGUGACAACGGGUAACGGAGGGUUAGGGCUCGACCCCGGAGAAAACGCCUGAGAAACGGCGUUUACAUCCAAGGAAGGCAGCAGGCGCGCAAAUUACCCAAUGCCGACACGGCGAGGUAGUGACGAGAAAUACUGAUACAGGGCUCUUUUGGGUCUUGUAAUUGGAAUGAGUACAAUUUAAAUCCCUUAACGAGGAACAAUUGGAGGGCAAGUCUGGUGCCAGCAGCCGCGGUAAUUCCAGCUCCAAUAGCGUAUAUUAAAGUUGUUGCAGUUAAAAAGCUCGUAGUUGAACCUUGGGCCUGGCUGGCCGGUCCGCCUCACCGCGUGCACUGGUCCGGCCGGGCCUUUCCCUCUGGGGAACCCCAUGCCCUUCACUGGGCGUGGCGGGGAACCAGGACUUUUACUUUGAAAAAAUUAGAGUGUUCAAAGCAGGCCUAUGCUCGAAUACAUUAGCAUGGAAUAAUAGAAUAGGACGUGCGGUUCUAUUUUGUUGGUUUCUAGGACCGCCGUAAUGAUUAAUAGGGACAGUCGGGGGCGUCAGUAUUCAAUUGUCAGAGGUGAAAUUCUUGGAUUUAUUGAAGACUAACUACUGCGAAAGCAUUCGCCAAAGGAUG